CGUUCAGGUUCAAGGUUCCCUUUCAGGGGAGAAGGGGCGCCUCUGACAGGAGAGCAGGGCCAGAGUCAGGAUCGGCUUCCUCCCGAGGGGCCCAGGGGACCUGUGUGCAGGGCAGUUUAGUUGAUGAAUCUAGAAAAGUCAGGUUCAGUGUCAGCUCUGCAGUCAAGUCCACAGUGAAAUGGGAGUCUUUGAGGAGCCUGCGUGUUUGAUGGUAGCAAGCCCCGCAGCCUGGAGGCCACUGCGGCCGACACCUAUCUGCCACCCCAAGCCUGGCCAGGAGGCCGGCAGACCCUGUGCCCGGCCCGGCUCGGGGUGACGGGCAGGGCUGUAAGCCAUCUGGGUGGGCAUUUGUGUGAAGCACUCAGACACCAACAUGACCCCAUCAGAGAAACUCAGACAAUGCAAACACACUUGGAAAAAUGGUUUAAUGAUGUUUUACAACAGAAAUGAACUGUACACUUACAGUUAAGUUUAAUAUAUAUAUAAAAAGUUACAGCAGACAAAUGCAUCUACACAAAACCUAGCAUUUCCUUCUGACUCAGCCACCCACACAGCCUCUCCCAAGCCCACAGCCCGCGGGCGGCCCAGGAGGGUCACAGGAAGGGCACUUGUAAGGAGACAGCACCACUUACGUCCCCUGACUCCUCGGGCCUCGGGAGGCAUCAGCGAAUCCCCCCAAAUGCAUAGUCCCCAUGCCAUGUUAUCAGCUGAUUCUUAUGGACUAUCCCUGGGGGGCUGGCUACCCAGCGUCUGGGGCAGUGGGGCUACACAAUAGCCACCCAGAUCGCAAAGCUGCCAGAGACGCGGAAGAGGUCCCGUGGCUCCCCAGGAGUGGCCGCUGCCUCGUAGAGCUGCGGGGCCAUGUUGGAAAGAAUCAUACACCACAUCUUAAGUUUCCACAAAAGAGAACUCAAACUCACAUUUUAAAGUUAGGCACAUAAAACAAAAAUGUGUGGGAGGCCAAGGGGCCAAUUUCCCCUCGUGUCCCUCCCUGGACAACAGUGGAAAAACACCCCUGAAUCAAUAUUUAAAAAAAAGAAAAGAAAAGAAG